UAGAGGAAGUAAAAGUCGUAACAAGGUCUCCGUUGGUGAACCAGCGGAGGGAUCAUUACUGAGUUUACGCUCUACAACCCUUUGUGAACAUACCUAUAACUGUUGCUUCGGCGGGUAGGGUCUCCGCGACCCUCCCGGCCUCCCGCCCCCGGGCGGGUCGGCGCCCGCCGGAGGAUAACCAAACUCUGAUUUAACGACGUUUCUUCUGAGUGGUACAAGCAAAUAAUCAAAACUUUUAACAACGGAUCUCUUGGUUCUGGCAUCGAUGAAGAACGCAGCGAAAUGCGAUAAGUAAUGUGAAUUGCAGAAUUCAGUGAAUCAUCGAAUCUUUGAACGCACAUUGCGCCCGCCAGCAUUCUGGCGGGCAUGCCUGUUCGAGCGUCAUUUCAACCCUCAAGCUCUGCUUGGUGUUGGGGCCCUACAGCCGAUGUAGGCCCUCAAAGGUAGUGGCGGACCCUCCCGGAGCCUCCUUUGCGUAGUAACUUUACGUCUCGCACUGGGAUCCGGAGGGACUCUUGCCGUAAAACCCCCAAUUUUCCAAAGGUUGACCUCGGAUCAGGUAGGAAUACCCGCUGAACUUAAGCAUAUCAAUA
rnacentral:rRNA from 1 species